AAUUGGGUGUCAUAUAAAAAAAAUAGAAAAAAUAAAAUAAAUUUCUAAAUCUCAUAAAAAUAAAAUAAAACUCAAACAUAUUACGACCAACUGUCAGAACAUACACUAUACUUUGUGGUUCAUACAUAAGUAUGAAACCCUAAAAUUAGAACAUUUGGACAAACAACUCGAAGAUCAUCUUGCUGAGAUCUGGUUGAAGUCAUCAUUUUGUUUCGAAGUGGAAGUACCAUUUGCACUGUGGUCGUGAAGUUUUGGGUCUCUAGGAUUGUAUUUGCACUAAUUUUUUAGCUCGGUAAUGAGCAUUUUGCUAUAAUUUUGGAUGCCAAAAAAGGUGUGAUUCCUUUAUUUUAUUAUGAAUUUGCAAGGGUUUGAUUCCCUUAUUUUUGAAUGCGAAAGAGAUGUGAUUCCUCUAUUUUAUUAUAAAUUUAUAAGGGUGUGAUUCCCUUAUUUUUUAAUGCAAAA